ensembl:lncRNA
UCCAGAGUCAUCAAAAUCCAGUGGCAGGAUGAAAGGAUGGCACAGGAUGUAGUGCAUGACCUUGGUGUCUUCAGUGUCUGACCAAGUCUCAAGUACUUCCUGACUGUUUCUCAUUGGACCAUCCUGAUACUCCUCUAAUUUACCAAUAGAAAAAGACGGAGAGACAGAUGUCAUGUCUUAUUCUUGGUCUGGAAAAAUCAACUUCACAAGUAGAAGAUGCGGGAGGUAUGAUCAGAGCAUUUUUUUUUCUGAAAAAGAUGUCAGGGCACAAAAUCAACUUCAUAAAUACAGAAUCAGUAAAAGGAUCAUCUGCAAGAUGGAAGACACAUUUCUCUGAGGAUUCCUGAGAG